AAAAUUAAAAAAAAAUUAAAAAAAAAUGAAAAAAAAAAGUAAAAUAAAAAAUAAAUUAAAUAAAUAAAUAAAUAAAAUAUAAUAGAAAAAUCUUGGACUUUGACCUCUCUCAUUUGAGUCCACAAAGUCAUGAAAAUCAGGUUAUAAAAGAGGGAGAACAGACAGAAAAAGGAAGAGAAGCAAAACACUCUGAGGUUUCCUUGGAACAAAACCCUGGACAAAAC
rnacentral:lncRNA from 1 species